rnacentral:rRNA from 1 species
AUUGAACGCUAGCGGGGUGCUUUACACAUGCAAGUCGAACGAGUGGCGGACGGGUGAGUAAUAUAUCGGAACGUGCCCAGUAGCGGGGGAUAACUACUCGAACGCGUGGCUAAUACUGCAUACGAUUGUUGCGGCCGCUAUUGGAUUCGCUAGUUGGUGGGGUAAAGGCUCAGCAAGGCAACGAUCCGUAGCGGGUGUGAGCGGACGACCAGCCACACUGGGACUGAGACACGGCCCAGAAUCCUACGGGAGGCAGCAGUGGGGAAUGUUGGACAAUGGGGGAAACCCUGAUCCAGCCAUCCCGCGUGUAUGAGAAGGCCUUCGGGUUGUAAAGUACUUUUGGCAGAGAAGCGGUAUCUGCAGAAUAAGCACCGGCUAACUACGUGCCAGCAGCCGCGGUAAUUC